GGAAUCACACUGUCUCCUGUCAGCUUUCUCUCCCUCCCCCGGCCCUCCUGCUGAUGAGAGACAGGAGCGAUGGAUGGUCUGAGUUAGCGGGGUCCCGGCACCACCCAGCGCAAAGGCACUGCACUCACGCACGCCAUGCACAUGCUGGCUCACCUCCUCCAUCCCAUGCCUCCCCUGUCUCCAGGUCUCUGUCUCUUACUUUAUUUUUCUCUCCACCUCCUUGUGUCUGCCUGCCUAAAGAUUUCUGAUGCUUAAUCCUCCUCUGUCUCCCUUGCUGUCUUUCUCUGUCAUUGUAUCUCUUGGCAUCUCAGUUCCACGUCUUCUGUUUCUCUCUCUUUCUCCACCUAUUUUCCCUUCAGAAGCAUUUUCACCCCAAUGUCUCUGUAUGUUCCUUGCAGCAUUCCCUCUGGAAUACAUCAGCACUGUUGCCUUUGAGGCUGGCCUGCUUGAAUGCACACCUGAGCUCCGGAUUCACAGUGGAGGAAGCCAGAUGCCAUGUCAUGAGGGUGCUCAAGCAACUUUUUGGAGAUGUAUGUAUGGAGAGAAACUGAGGCCUCCUGCCAACAGCCAGCACUAACUUGGCAAGCAUGUUUGAGAGCCACCUGGGAAGUGGAGCCUUCAGCCCCAGUUAAGCCUUCAGAUGAGACUGCAGUCCUGGCCACCAUCUGGACUGCAACUUCACAAGAGCUCCUAAGCCAGAGCCAUGCAGAUGGAUUCUUGGCCCCCAGAAAUUGUGCCACUACAUUUUGGGAAAUUUAUUAUGCAGCCAUAGAUUACCAAUACACUCACUAUUUCUUUUUUCUGAUGCCA
rnacentral:lncRNA from 1 species